CAAACAAUUAUCUAUCGAUGUAAAAUAACAACUCCACACACCAGGAGAACGGGCACUGAUAAUCCACUCGACCGAAACACGUGCCGCAAUCGCAAUCGAGUUACCAUUGGAUGGGAGGAUUUGGUGGAGACACGCUCACUCAACUGUUCGGCUCGAGUCAUUAGAGAGUUUGUUUGCUCAAGGGCUCCACGGAAAACCUUUCCCUGCUACUGGACAAGCUGAACAAAUAUGGCACCAGAACUGUUUUUCACAUUUCUACUCGGAGAUUGGUUUAUCACACACUUUGAACGCGUACCAUCCGAAAUCACCUUGCUUGCCUCUCGCUCACUCUAUCCAAUCAUGAAUUCCAUGCCAAGGUAAGAAAUUCACCGCCUGCUUGCGUCUCGCUGCAUAAACGCUCCCCCUCCCCACCAUUUGCCCGGAAUACAUUCGAGGUUCUGUUUUAUGUCUUCAAUCGUGUGAAUGUGGCUGAGUGUGUGUGGCGCGCGCGAAUGAAAUAUCGAUUUUCCAAGGACUAUUUAACCGGAGGACUCUGCUGCCAGGUCGCUGCCAGAACGGGCGAGCCUCCCACCUCCCCUCUUUCUCUGCUGCUAGUUUUGCAUCGCAGAAGGAAAAGGCAUCAAACAGAGAAAGGCUAUUGUAUUCUGGUGCUUAGACGCUUCCUGAUUAUGAUGAACCUGCUGGGCACCUACGAAUAAGUGCUGGAAAGAUUGUUUUUCUUCGCAAACUGAUAAACUCUGCAUGCGCGCUGUCGCUAUUUCUGUGCUGAUGCACCACCACCACCACCACUGCGAAGAAGAAAACCUAACAAAACACAAACUCUUGUCUGGAAAGUCUUGUUUUAGUAGGUCAUUUCGAUGGGAUUGUUUUCGACUGCGUGGCCAUUUACGGUUCGAUUAUAUCACGCAUUAACUUUGUUCAAUAACGAUGGAAGAAACAUAAAAUUGCAGAAAUUACGAUUAGAGGCACACACAC